GCCUCGUUAGUUUAAUGGUAAAACACUGUGCUGAUAACGCAGAGCUCGGCGUUCGAUUCGCCGACGAGGUA